rnacentral:tRNA from 1 species
GUGCUUGUAGCUCAGUAGGAUAGAGCAAUCGCCUCCUAAGCGAUAGGCCAUCGGUUCGAUUCCGAUCAAGCACA